rnacentral:misc_RNA from 1 species
AAAGUCGUAACAAGGUUUCCGUAGGUGAACCUGCGGAAGGAUCAUUAACAAAUCAUGAUUGCGUGUGGGGAGAGGCAACUUUCCCUAUGCGUAUAUUGACCCGACUCGGACGUCCGAAAGGCAUGUUCGAGUCGAUCUUGAGGAGUGCGCGCAAGUGUGCUCCUCGGGACAUUGACGCUUGUAUUGUUUGACAGAGUAAACCAUGACACCAAAAGAUACAACUUUUAACAAUGGAUCUCUUGGCUCUU